rnacentral:rRNA from 1 species
AUGGGGCGACUAGCAAGGAGGGCUCGUCUCCUAGCCUCACUAGUAGAAGCUUUCUAUAUCAUCCUCGCAGUUUCCCCGGUAGCAAGUGAUAUGACAGACAGCCUCGACCUGCUAUGGGGCAACACACAGGUAGAGUACGAUAGCAGCGGCCGCCAAACCGUUUCCCUGUCUCUCGACCGCUGGACGACGUCCGCAUUCCGCUCCAAGAGCAUGCACCUCUUCGGGAGGUUCGACAUGGACAUCAAGCUCGUCCCCAGAGACUCGGCCGGCACCAUCACCACACUCUAUAUGCUGACAGAGGGGCCAUGGGAAGAACACGAUGAGGUCGACCUCGAAUUCCUGGGCAACAGCUCCGGCGAGCCAUACACCUUGCACACAAACAUUUACGCCAGGGGAAGGGGCGGUCGGGAGAAGCAGUACCGACUUUGGUUUGAUCCCACUCAAGAUUUCCACACCUACUCCAUCCUCUGGAACCCAAAGGAGAUAUUGAUAAUUGUCGAUGGCACGCCGGUCCGGCAGAUGAAGAACCAACAAAGAAAAGAUAUCCCUUUCCCGCUGUACCAGCCAAUGAGGCUGUACAGCAGCAUCUGGAACGCCGAGGACUGGGCGACGCAAGGUGGGCGCGUCAAGACCGACUGGUCCCAGGCGCCGUUCACCUCGCUCUUCCGGAACUACAGCGCCGUUUCCUGCGUCUCGCAGAAGACCGCCUGGAUCUGUGGCCGAGGUUCCAGUGACAGCAGCUGGUUCACUCACGUCUUGGACGAAGAGGGGCAACGGAAGCUCAAGGAGGUGGACGAGAAACACAAGAUUUAUGACUACUGCGUUGACUCGAGGAGGUACCCUAAUGGGUAUCCUCCAGAGUGUGGGUCACAGUAG